GACCCGACCUUAUAUAAUCAAGUGUAUUUCCGCAAUAAAUUGGACUAGCUCAUUCUCACAGGCUGUCUCCGUGGUUUUUACCGCGCGUCCCCCACGCCUGGAGAACCUAGGCCUACGCGCUGGCCUAGGGGCUCACUGCCGAGCCGUGGAAGCCCGCCCGGUCCUCGUGGGUUGCUAACUUAGAAUAGCAGCCCACAGCAGGGGUUGCUAACUUAGAAUAGCAGCCCACAGCAGGGGUUGCUAACUUGGAAUAGCAGCUCACAGCUGGGGGCCCGCCCGGGAUCCUUUCCUUCCACCGCCCUCCGGCCCCUCUCUGCUGCUGCUGCUGCUGUCUACUGGCGACCAUUUCAGCUCUCCAGAUCUCUCAAAGGACCCAACUCUGCAUACUCCACAAGAAAAGCCUUUGCUACCUCCGCAACCCGCCGUUGACAAGUGCCUGACCUUCACCAAAACGUGCUUUAUAGUUCAUCAGAAAAGAACUCUCAGUGCAGAUGCUCCUCAAGCUCCCCUCGCACCCACUCUUACUCUGCUUCUUUCUUGUAAUUUUCAUUUUCUUAACAAUCUUCUCAGCUGUUUGCCUCGCAGCUACAGCCCCAACAGAUUGGAACCUCCGUCAACGCCUCCUCCUCGCUGUCGCCUUUCUACUUUUAAUUGGCAU
rnacentral:lncRNA from 1 species